GUGCAAUACGCCAUUUAGAUUAUAACAAAGAAAAUGUAGGAAUAUAUAUUUUAUUGUCUGUUAGUUUUGUUUAACAAUCACGUAGUAAAUUCAGUAGUGUUAAUAGGAUUUAUUUUUGCGCACAACAUGCUAAGAUUUUUGUUAACGUUAAGUGUUGGCAUCUACACUGGUAUAUAUAUUAGCCAAAACUAUGAUGUACCACGAGUAGAUGAACCAUCUAAAAUUAUUGACAAAAUAAAAGAAUAUGCUGACGAUCAUCGUAAAAAGUAAUUUUCUUAAAGAGCAUUUAUUUUUUACAUAUAAGAACCAUAAAAAAUUACCUCAUUAACAUCAUGUGCGUUAAUCAAAAUCUUGAUCGAUCUAAAUCGAGUCAUAAGAUAUACACGAUGGGCCACGUUUCUUCUACAACUACAAAAUCUGCUAAUGAUAAUACGGGGUUGUACUUUGAAUGUUAUAAUUGCUUCAUGAAUAUAAAUCAGAGCACAAAGAUAUAAUUUGAAAUAAUCGGGACCAUCGUUGUACCGGAAGUAUAUGAUGUUUAAUAGAUCUACUUUAAAUUUCAGGAGACUAGAAAAAAUAAUAAACACAACUUAAACUCUUCUGAAUAUUUUGUGAGAACUACAAAUAAAAUUUAGAAAUGUUAUAAUAAUCUUGCUCAAUA